GGAUGAAGCCAGCACCAGAGAGAAGGGUGGAGGCACCGAGAGCAGCAGGUGAAGACCAGCCAGCCACCAGCUGAACCAGGGAAGCCCAGGUUUGCAAAUCCAGAGCCACUUGUGCUGGUGCAGCUCUGCUGCUGCUUUUUAUUCUCUUUUGUUUCCCCAGGCUAAACUGUGUUUUUCAACUUCCAUCACUAUGAAUGAAGACAUUCUGUUACAUUCGUUAGGACCUGAAUGGUUGGGUUUAAGCUGCUGUUACUGGGUGUCCUCAGACUUCUCUGCAUACAGAGACGUGACAGUCCCAUCCUUCCACUGCACCACGACUUCUCCUGAUUUCUGAUCCUGGGGCACCGGCUCCUCCUUCUGUGGUUCACUGGGGCUGUGCUCCUGCACAGAGACCAGGGCUUGCUUGGUUUCCAGCUCCGCCUGCUGCGUCUUCUGCACUGCUGCGCUGUACAUGUGUCUCUUCCUUUUCCUGCAGGGAAGGGACAGAAAGGAAACAUGGAGUGAAGCAGCAAGCCCAGCCCACAUCUGGGAUAGCUAUAAAUUAACCCAGCAGCAGGAAUGUCCGUUCGUCUCCGCUAACUCACCAGAAACACGCUGUUCCAGCAGAGAGGAAGCUACAUUUCUUCUUUAAGCCCUGCUGCCUGAAGAUGUCUUCUCCAAGCAGCCGUCAGUGCCUCACCACGGUGACAAGGUUGCCUUUCCUUCUACUCUUGGUACACUACGAGCUGUGAUUCAUUCUGCUCCUGAGUCAUGUCUGAAGGCCAGUCCAACAGUGAAUGGUCAUUCUAAGGCUCUCAGAGCAUCUCACAAGAGUGACUGACUUCACAGACAAAGCACCCGCUGGAGAUUUUGCCAUCCCUGUUUUGCAGGUACUGGCAACAGUUGGCUAAGUCAACAGGCUGCUAAGAGGCUUUGCAGUGCCACAAGGCUGAUGGGCUGGCUGGCUGUGCCAUCCACAUUGGGAAAGGAGGUUCCUCCUACCUGAACUAUUUGAUCUAUGGAUGGAGCUGCAUACUGCAGAGCAAGCUAGGUACCUCUCUGACAGGCUUGGAGCACACAGCUAGCACUGGUUAGCUAAGGUUAAUUGGAGACGAGCACUGUAUCCUUACAUUUGUCUUGUUCUUGGCUUCUUCCAGCUUGAAAUAAAGUGUCUUUGGCACUG
rnacentral:lncRNA from 1 species